ensembl:snRNA U6 U6 spliceosomal RNA
CUUGCUUCAGCAACAUAUUCCAAAAUUGGAACAGUACAGAGAUUAGCAUGGCCCCUGUGCAAGGAUGACAUGCAAAUUCAUGAUGCAUUCCAUAUUUAU